CAGAGUUUUUAACUCCCAAACCAUUGUGAACUUACCUUUGUUGCCUCGGCGGGGCCUACCCGGUAUCUACCCUGUAGCCCGCCGAUGGACAUCUAAACUCAUGUUAUUAUAAUGAUAUCUGAGCGUCUUAUUUUAAUAAGUUA
rnacentral:misc_RNA from 1 species